rnacentral:rRNA from 1 species
GACGAACGCCGGCGGCGUGCCUAAUACAUGCAAGUCGAGCGGACCAAUAGAAGCUUGCUUCUGUUGGUUAGCGGCGGACGGGUGAGUAACACGUGGGCAACCUGCCUGUAAGACUGGGAUAACUUCGGGAAACCGGAGCUAAUACCGGAUAAUUCAUCCCCUCGCAUGAGGGGAUGCUGAAAGUCGGUUUACGCUGACACUUACAGAUGGGCCCGCGGCGCAUUAGCUAGUUGGUGAGGUAAUGGCUCACCAAGGCGACGAUGCGUAGCCGACCUGAGAGGGUGAUCGGCCACACUGGGACUGAGACACGGCCCAGACUCCUACGGGAGGCAGCAGUAGGGAAUCUUCCACAAUGGACGAAAGUCUGAUGGAGCAACGCCGCGUGAGCGAUGAAGGCCUUCGGGUCGUAAAGCUCUGUUGUUAGGGAAGAACAAGUAUCGGAGUAACUGCCGGUACCUUGACGGUACCUAACCAGAAAGCCACGGCUAACUACGUGCCAGCAGCCGCCGCAGUAA